ensembl:snRNA U4 U4 spliceosomal RNA
AGCUCUGAGCAUUGGCAGAACUGUAGCCAAUGAGGUAUAUCUGAGGCACAAUUGUUGCUAAUUGAAAUUCUGGUUGAAGACUAGAGCUAAAUAUAAAUAGUAAACUAAUAAACAUUUCUAGAAA